rnacentral:rRNA from 1 species
AGUUGGUGGGGUAAAGGCCUACCAAGGCGACGAUGCAUAGCCGACCUGAGAGGGUGAUCGGCCACACUGGGACUGAGACACGGCCCAGACUCCUACGGGAGGCAGCAGUAGGGAAUCUUCCGCAAUGGGCGAAAGCCUGACGGAGCAACGCCGCGUGAGUGAAGAAGGAUUUCGGUUCGUAAAGCUCUGUUGUUAGGGAAGAAUGAUUGUAUAGUAACUAUAUACAGUAGAGACGGUACCUAACCAGAAAGCCACGGCUAACUACGUGCCAGCAGCCGCGGUAAUACGUAGGUGGCAAGCGUUGUCCAGAAUUAUUGGGCGUAAAGCGCGCGCAGGUGGUUUAAUAAGUCUGAUGUGAAAGCCCACGGCUCAACCGUGGAGGGUCAUUGGAAACUGUUAAACUUGAGUGCAGGAGAGAAAAGUGGAAUUCC